UACGAAGGGGGCUAGCGUUGCUCGGAAUUACUGGGCGUAAAGCGCACGUAGGCGGACUCUUAAGUCGGUGGUGAAAUCCUGGAGCUCAACUCCAGAACUGCCUUCGAUACUGGGAGCCUUGAGUUCGGGAGAGGUGAGUGGAACUGCGAGUGUAGAGGUGAAAUUCGUAGAUAUUCGGAGGAACACCAGUGGCGAAGGCGGCUCACUGGCUCGAUACUGACGCUGAGGUGCGAAAGCGUGGGGAGCAAACAGG
rnacentral:rRNA from 1 species